AACGAACGCUGGCGGCAUGCCUAACACAUGCAAGUCGAACGAGAACUCCGGGCUUAGGGGCGCACGGGGGCGUAACGCGGGGGAACCAGCCCGUAGGUUCGGAAUCACUCACCGAGAGGGGUCCUAAUAACAGAGAAUGUAAUCGGACCUAAGAUUUAUCGCUGUUGGAUGGGGGCGCGUUGGCUUCGCUAGUUGGUAGGGUAAAAGCCUGCCAAGGCGACGUUGCAUAGCUGGUCUGGGAGGAUGCUCAGCCACACUGGGACUGCGACACGGGCCAGAAUCCUACGGAAGGCUGCAGUGGGGAAUAUUGGACGAUGGGCGAUGGCCUGAUACAGCAAUGCCGCGUAAGUGAUGAAGGGCUUAGGGUUGUAAAGCUGUUUUACCCGAGAUGAUAAUGACGGUACCGGGAGAAUAAGCUCCGGCUAACUCCGUG
rnacentral:rRNA from 1 species